rnacentral:rRNA from 1 species
UACGGAGGGUGCGAGCGUUGUCCGGAAUCACUGGGCGUAAAGGGCGCGUAGGCGGCUGGGGAAGUCGGCGGUGAAAGCCCGGAGCUCAACUCCGGGUCGGCCGUCGAGACUCCUCGGCUCGAGCUCACUAGAGGCAGAUGGAAUUCCGGGUGUAGCGGUGGAAUGCGUAGAGAUCCGGAAGAACACCGGUGGCGAAGGCGGGUCUCUGGGCCGAUACUGACGCUGAGGAGCGAAAGCGUGGGGAGCGAACAGG